rnacentral:rRNA from 1 species
UACGAGAGGCCCAAACGUUAUUCGGAAUUACUGGGCUUAAAGAGUUCGUAGGCGGCGCAGAAAGUAGGGUGUGAAAGCCCUCGGCUUAACCGAGGAAUUGCGCUCUAAACUACUGUGCUUGAGGAAGCGUAGAGGUGAGCGGAACUGAUGGUGGAGCGGUGAAAUGCGUUGAUAUCAUUAGGAACACCGGUGGCGAAAGCGGCUCACUGGGACUC